rnacentral:rRNA from 1 species
GCUGGCGGCAGGCGUAACACAUGCAAGUCGAGCGGGCGUAGCAAUACGUCAGCGGCAGACGGGUGAGUAACGCGUGGGAACGUACCUUUUGGUUCGGAACAACACAGGGAAACUUGUGCUAAUACCGGAUAAGCCCUUACGGGGAAAGAUUUAUCGCCGAAAGAUCGGCCCGCGUCUGAUUAGCUAGUUGGUGAGGUAAUGGCUCACCAAGGCGACGAUCAGUAGCUGGUCUGAGAGGAUGAUCAGCCACAUUGGGACUGAGACACGGCCCAAACUCCUACGGGAGGCAGCAGUGGGGAAUAUUUGACAAUGGGCGCAAGCCUGAUCCAGCCAUGCCGCGUGAGUGAUGAAGGCCCUAGGGUUGUAAAGCUCUUUUGUGCGGGAAGAUAAUGACGGUACCGCAAGAAUAAGCCCCGGCUAACUUCGUGCCAGCAGCCGCGGUAAUACGAAGGGGGCUAGCGUUGCUCGGAAUCACUGGGCGUAAAGGGUGCGUAGGCGGGUCUUUAAGUCAGGGGUGAAAUCCUGGAGCUCAACUCCAGAACUGCCUUUGAUACUGAGGAUCUUGAGUUCGGGAGAGGUGAGUGGAACUGC